CCUCCUCUCCUCUCUGUACAUCACAGAAGUCGACAUACGCUGAAGAACUAGAAAAGUCCUGCAGAUCUUGACUGUGGCUUCUUAGAAGCAAGCUCCGAGUCUACAGCAGAGAAGGGUUCUGACCUGGGGAGGAACAGCUCUGAACUUCACCAAGUAUGUUUCAUCUUCAAAAUCUUUGACUUUUCCACACCACAACCAGCUGUGUAGGAUUGGAGUUUGUCGUCUGUAACACUAGUGUAACUGUUGUCUUUCCUCUCAACUCAUCACAGAACCAGCUCGACUAGAGCCACAGAGCCAAACCCAGCAACCAGCGACCCUGGAGCCAUGUGAUCUCUGCUGAGCUUAAAACUCUAAAAUACUGCAUGCUCAGCCGUCCUGGUAGGGGAUCCCUCUAAGACCUGGCCUACCUAAAGGUUUCUUCCUCUUAUCCUGUGAAAACUUUUUUGGGGGGAGUUUUUUCUGACAUGCUUGGAGGGUCGA